UACGUAGGGUGCGAGCGUUAAUCGGAAUUACUGGGCGUAAAGCGUGCGCAGGCGGUAAGUUAAGUCUGUUGUGAAAGCCCCGGGCUUAACCUGGGAAUUGCAUUGGAAACUAGCGGGCUGGAGUGUGGCAGAGGGGGGUGGAAUUCCACGUGUAGCAGUGAAAUGCGUAGAGAUGUGGAGGAACACCGAUGGCGAAGGCAGCCCCCUGGGCUAACACUGACGCUCAUGCACGAAAGCGUGGGGAGCAAACAGG
rnacentral:rRNA from 1 species